rnacentral:lncRNA from 1 species
AAAUAAAUUUUACUUUAAUAGUUAUUCUAAAUAGAACCUUAAUACCACCGAGUAAAGUCAUAACUUACUCCAAUUUGAAUUAAAUAGCCCAUGUUUCGGCCCAUAACCCAUACUAAAGCAUAUGUUAAAUGGACUGCUACUAACUUGGGCCCGCCAAUAUAGUGCAUUAAGCCGAUUUUCAAAAAUUACAUUAUAUGUAUCUUGAGUUUCACAUCUCGUAUUAAAUAAAUUACUAAAUGAUUAUAUCAUCUAAAGGAGUCUUAAAGGAGUACAUCAUCACUUAAAAUCUAAACUUUUCUUUUGCUUUUUCUUCAAAUUACAUGCAUUGUUUCCUUUAACUUGAAAACAAAAUGUUAUUAUCCUUUUCAUGAUUAUUACUUUCACCCUUGUGCCCUUAGGCUUUUGAAAAUUGCCUUUCCUUUCUCUUGAAAUUUAGUAGCAUUACGUAAGUAGUAGUGUUACUUGGAUGUUAGGAUCUCCUCUUCAUAGGAAUUAGUCUCUGUUGCCUUUCCAGUUUGAUUCAAGACCGUUUGGUAUAAAGAUGUUAUAGUUUUUAAGCCAUAGUUUCGAUAGAAAAAAAAAAAAAAAAACAAAGUGUAACUAUAAAAUAAAAGUUGAUAAUGUAUAAUAAAUAUGAUUUUUAAAUAAUAAUUUUUAUAAAAAAAUAGUAAAUAUAUUGUAGGAUUUUCACCAUAUAAUUGUGAAAAUCAAAUUAACCUAUCUUUUAAGUCAUAGCAGUUGAUGUUUACCAAACAUUUAAGUGUUGGACCUGCCUAUCCUCAAUACUAAACAAGCCAUUAGUAAAUUGUACACUAACUAUUAUUUGUUGAGAUUGCCUUCUUUAAAACUUUAGUGCAAUUUGCAAUGUAAAUUUAAUCAUUAAGUAAUUUAUGAUCGUGGAUUAGGAUUAAUUAAUCAUAUAAAAAAUCCAAACACCAAGUCAAAAUAUUUUUUUUUAUAAUGUUUACGAGAUCCAAAUGUUUCAUAUAGAAUUAUAAAUCAUUCGAUAAUGUUGUUUCCUUCUAGAGAACUUUUGAAAGUAAUUUAUAAACCCUAAUGGAGCACAUAAUCGCACGAGUGUGUAGUUAGUUGAUCCCAAAAGGAUUUGCAUCUAUAAUUAAUCUAAGAAAAAGUGUCUCCAAAAUAAUAUUUUUGCCUUCAUUAAUAAUCCACAUUCUCUUUUUUUUUUUUUAACAUUUCAAAAUUAAAAAAAAAAAUUGAAAAGUUUGCUAGUUGCGUACAUAAUGAAUUGGAGUGGUUGAAAGCAGCUGCUUUAAUUUGUUUAAUCUUGGCAUGCCUUGAAAAGUUAGUAACUAAAGGAAAGCCACUUUGAUAACUUUCCUCCUAUAAUUUCUAAAUUAUUUUUACUUUGAGCAUGAUUGAUGUCUUAACUUUGUCAAAAUUAUUUUGAUAAAACGACCUGAAAAUUAUUACUUAUUCUUCUACUCUACCAUAAUACACACUUACCUGUGACUUCUCAAUUCCUUCUUCUUCUUUUUUCCUUUUGGUUGCUGCAAUUAUGCAGAUGUUGAAGCUUUCAGUUUCAGCCUUAGGUUGUUACACUGUUCUUUUCAUUCUUGGUGUGGACUCUUUUUGGAAAGAUAAGACAGGAAUUCAUCAUAAGUUAAAAAGACAACUUACAUAAAGCCAUAAAUGAUAUUAACAUGGACCACUCGCUUUCUUUCAGUUGUCUUAUGGUAAAAUUGCCUUUUUAUUCAAAGUUAUUUUCCCAAAUAAUUGAUCAACUUUAUCUUCCCAAAUAAUUGAUCAACUUUGCCAGAAGAUAUAUCAGCUCUUUCUGUUUUUUAUUUUUUUUUGAAAAAACACUGAUGAUAAUACUGACAAUCAUGGUGCUAUAUUGGGGCUAAGGUACAUGUAAACUUAAGAUCCAUCUUAAGGUGAUUUUCAGUUAAACAUAAUGUAUUAUUAAGUUAAAACAUAAAUUAAUUUGUAAAUAUAACUAGAAAACAGAGAAUGUAAUAAAAGGAUUUCUGAUUAAUGCAAUGCAAAACUCUUCUCUUCCUCCCUACUCCUCUCUCUUGCUCUUGUGUCUCAGAAAUUUUCUCAUUCAACCCAUUUCCUUGCUUAGAAAACCGCUCUCUCUUGUUUGUCUUGUUCUGUUUUGUAUGUUAUAGUUUGAUUUUCUUUCACUUUACAAGUUAGAUAUGUGAUUUUCUUCCAUGAUAAAAGAAUCGAGGGAAUAUCUUCUAGAGCUCAAAUUGGAUAUGUGCACUAUGCACAACAAUUAUUGGUGUUGCACAAAAUCGAGAUCUUCAGUGUGAAAAUAUUAUGAUUUGAUCAACUGAUCAUUGAAAUAUUAGAUUAUCUAUAAACUGGUCUUGUCCAUCUAUGGGUCAGUUUGGUAAUUACGCAGUUUUUAAAAUAAUUAAUGUCAAUUGUACUAUAAAAAUAAUUAGUUGUGAAGACAAUUAGUUAAACGUUUAGUAAAAUUUAUUGUUAAAAGUGUUAUGAGUUUUAAAAAUAGUUGCAUGUAUUUAAUAAAUUUUAUUGUUAACUUGUUGUAGGAAUGUAAAUGAUUGAAUUAGACAUAAUGUCAAAUAAAAUUUAUUUACAAAUUUAUAAACAUGUAAAUAGAAUAGUUUUUAUCGUGUA